AAUUACUCGGCUUCAGUAAUUUGACACAGUGCAAGAAUUCACCUGAAAAGAUUGGCAAGGAGAGUCUGCUCACCCCACAAGAAAAACUUUAAAGUGACACCAUCACCAUCAACAAGAGUAAUCUGUUUUCUUUAUUUGUAGGCUGAUGAGUAGUGGGUUCAUGAAGUUUGCUCGUCCGUGCAAGAGUUAUUCAUAUUUUUGAUCCGUAAAUGGUAAUGCCCAGUGAAGAAGGUUGCAGAAGGUUGCUUUCUUCAAGUAUUGAAGGAGAAUGACGACCGUAAAAAAGAAAAAGGAGAAUGGUAGGGGUGCAAGUGUCAUUUACAUAUUAUAUUUUAAAUAUAUCUAAACUUCCAGUUAAUAGAAAGAGCCGGUUUCCAAUUUCCCCUCUUGACAUAUGCUUUAAUCUCAUUGGUUCUCACCUAUAUGGCACCGGUGCAAGACCCAUCCUCUAUUGCACCUUAUACUCCACCGUAAAUAUAAUAUAGAAAUAUAUUUGUCAAGAAUAAAUUGAUUGGUUAAAUUUGUUCCUGAAAGUGUUGGACGGUGGCAAGUUCGUCACUGAAUUUAAACAUUUCCCUCGCGGUUCUAGAUUGUGUAAAAUGUCUGUCAAAUUAGUCUAUAUCGUUAGAUAAAACGUUGGUCAAGUUAGUUUAUAUAGUCUAUACAGACACUAACCUAACUGACAUUUUACACAAUUAGAAAUUAUAUGAGGUUUUUUUUUUUCUCUAAAGACAAAGACAAACUUAUUGGCGUCCAACACUUCUGUUUAUCAAUUUCACCAUUUCACUAAAAAAAAAAAA